rnacentral:sRNA from 1 species
AUGUACCCCCGUACACUCCGGUUCCUCCGCGCCGUCCGCACCCACCUGACGGCUGUUUUGUUAGCC